rnacentral:lncRNA from 1 species
GGUGUGUCAUUGAGCAUUUCUCCUUCUUUCUUUAGGAUGAGUUGGCUUUUCUCUUAUAAUUGUCGCCAGCUUCUACUAGCGACAUGAUAUCUCUAGGGAAUUAAUCCCUAUUGGCUUCAAUGGGCCAUAUAGCUGUAGUGGGCAACCCAUGGUUAUAGUGGGCCACGUUGGAUUUUCUACAAGGGAGUUACUCGAUUGGCUAUAAUAGGCCAUGUGGCUACGGUAGACCAUCCG